GAGUUUGAUCCUGGCUCAGGACGAACGCUGGCGGCGCGCCUAACACAUGCAAGUCGAACGAGAGAUGAGGAGCUUGCUUUUCAAAUCGAGUGGCGAACGGGUGAGUAACGCGUGAGGAACCUGCCUCAAAGAGGGGGACAACAGUUGGAAACGACUGCUAAUACCGCAUAAGCCCACGGUGCCGCAUGGCACAGAGGGAAAAGGAGCAAUCCGCUUUGAGAUGGCCUCGCGUCCGAUUAGCUAGUUGGUGAGGUAACGGCCCACCAAGGCGACGAUCGGUAGCCGGACUGAGAGGUUGAACGGCCACAUUGGGACUGAGACACGGCCCAGACUCCUACGGGAGGCAGCAGUGGGGAAUAUUGCACAAUGGGGGAAACCCUGAUGCAGCGACGCCGCGUGGAGGAAGAAGGUUUUCGGAUUGUAAACUCCUGUCGUUAGGGACGAUAAUGACGGUACCUAACAAGAAAGCACCGGCUAACUACGUGCCAGCCGCCGCGGUAAUUC
rnacentral:rRNA from 1 species